UACGUAGGGUGCAAGCGUUAAUAGGAAUUACUGGGCGUAAAGCGUGCGCAGGCGGUUUUGUAAGUCUGUCGUGAAAGCCCCGGGCUCAACCUGGGAAUUGCGAUGGAGACUGCAAGGCUUGAAUCUGGCAGAGGGGGGUAGAAUUCCACGUGUAGCAGUGAAAUGCGUAGAGAUGUGGAGGAACACCGAUGGCGAAGGCAGCCCCCUGGGUCAAGAUUGACGCUCAUGCACGAAAGCGUGGGGAGCAAACAGG
rnacentral:rRNA from 1 species